ACUAGAGGUAAGUUUCAUCUUUUAAGGCAUAUUUAUUGUCCAAAAUAAAGUCAUGAGAAUGAUAUUCAGCAGUUAUACAUUAACUUUAUUUAAAUCUGAAUUCAUAAGAAUUGCAUUCAGCUGUGUAUAGAUUCACAGUUUUUUUUUUUUUUUUGAGAUAGCAAUUGAGUGCUCAUGCAAACAGACAUCCACAGUUGGUUUGCGUUCUACUCGUGGGCCUCUAUGAAGUCACAUACAAAGAUGGCAAAGGGUUGUGCAAGAACUGUUGAUGGUCGGGCAACCUGUCGAGGAACCUGCGCCAUUAUCACAAGGUUAACUCUUAUCCUCAGUCUACAUGUCACCUUCUUUGAUUGCUUUUAGGCUAUGAAAUAAUGCAUUGUGGAUUCAGACCUUCUUCACUCGUUUCAAUGUUGUUGUCACGGCAACAGUUCAGGUAAAUGGGAGGCAUGUAAGCUAAAUUUCAAGUGAUGUGAAUGUAGAUUACAGAAGUAGUAGCUUUAACCGAUGACCAGGAAAUUAUUUUCAAUCUAACAAUGAACUUUUUGAAUACAUUACAGUGCAACAAGGAACAUAUAGGCCUGGCUGCUGCUCUUCAGUACGCACGACAGCAACGACACUGCCUUCAAAAUAAAAGCACUUCUAAUCAUAUCAUUCAUAAUGACAAAUCAACUUGGAAGCAAAUAAUGUUCCAGCCUAAGCGCUUUACAGUGAAUGUAUUUGUUAUUUAUUAUUCAUCCAUCAGUUGCUUGAGCAUCUUGGACUUCACCGUAUUUAAGGACCCUACCCUACAACAAAUAAAUGCUCAUCCAUUGUUAUUUGUCUUUAUUUCUUCAUUUCAGCACAAAGUCAACACACAGAUGCUAAGGGGGAAGAACCCAACAGAAGACUAAAAAAGAAGGACAAAGGGCCCAGCAGAAAAAAGAACACGAAGAAACAUUCUGUAUCUCUGGAAAGUGCCAGGAGAGCAAAAAAGCAUCUUUGGUCUCCCAUGGAGGUUGCCGCAGUCAUGAGACAUUUUGGCCAACACAUCAAAAAAGGGAAACUGGCCACUAUGAUUGAAUGCCAGCAAUGCAAGAAGGCUGAAAAUCUUGCUCUGGCUGGUCGCUCUAUCCAAAACAUAAGAGAUUUUGUAAGGAAUCGGGGCGUAACUUUGAAAAGAAAAGAAAAUCCUGGAUAGAUACAACACCCUGCAGCAGAGCUGAAACAUAUCCAACAUCACAUCCUACAUCACACCCAACAUCACAUCCAACAUCCCAUCCAUGACAUCUAACACCAUACAGCUACAGUACAUCACAUCCAACAUCACAUCUAACACCAUACAGCUACAGUACUUCACAUCCAACAUCACAUCUAACACCAUACAGCUACAGUACAUCCCAUCCAACAUCACAUCUAACACCACACAGCUACAGUACAUCCCAUCCAACACCACAUCUAACACCACACUGCUACAGUACAUCCCAUCCAACAUCACAUCUAACACCACACAGCUACAGUACAUCACAUCCAACAUCACAUCUAACACCAUACAGCUACAGUACAUCACAUCCAACAUCACAUCUAACACCACAUCCAACACCAGGCCUGUUGUAACUGGAACACUGUUAGACAUGCAUUGGUCUAGUAGACAUGCAUAAUUUCAUUUUGACAUUUAUAAAUGUUUUCCUUUCUGUUCACAAAUACAUUUCUGUUGCUCUGAUAUGUGGUCAAGGCGCUGUAAAAUCCAGUCUACUUCUUUCUGUUUAGUCAUAUUCCAUUUAUCCAUGUUUGGCCUUUUUAAUACACAUAAACUUCACGUUUGUGUAUGUGUAUGGCUAUGGUCCUGAUAAAAAAGUUGGUCCUGGCAAUUACUGUUUGUGUCAUGGGCGGAGCUAAGUACCUCAUUAUCUUGUGUCCUCUUAAUACAGCAUUCCGUCAGGUUCUUGUAUCUUGAGUUCUGAUGUGUGUAUCUAACUUUUGAAGUGAGAUUUGUGCUGUAUGGCUCAAAUAAAAUUUUUGAAGAUUCA